CCUGAGAAACCCAAAAGAUCGAAUGGGGAGAUUCAUCGUCAGCGAUCUCAGUACGUGUGCGGUUCGUGAUGACGCGUGGAUCUCGGUCCCCGCGGCACGCGUCCGUAUGGGUCUUUUGCUGGGUGUCGUCGGCGUGCACUUCUCCCCUAGUAGGACGUCGCGACCCGUUGGGUGUCGGUCUACGACCCGAUUGGGCGCCUGUCAUGUGUCACGUUUCAUAGCGUCCUCAUGCGGCAGACCAUCGGUUCUUGUCUGACCGGCUGCUCGGCGGUAYUCGCACGGUAUGUGGCCGCAAGCAUUUUAAGCUGCGUCCGGUCCGCCGCAAGCGAGGCCAGUGCUUCCUGGAUGUUUACGGACCUAGAGCCGUCGCCGGGCCUGGCCAGCUGUUGGUCGGUGGUUUCCUUGGACUGGCUGUCAAUUAUGAAUACCGGUCAGCGACGCUAC
rnacentral:rRNA from 1 species